rnacentral:rRNA from 1 species
CAGCCGCCGCGGGAAUACGUAGGUGGCAAGCGUUGUCCGGAAUUAUUGGGCGUAAAGGGCUCGCAGGCGGUUUCUUAAGUCUGAUGUGAAAGCCCCCGGCUCAACCGGGGAGGGUCAUUGGAAACUGGGAAACUUGAGUGCAGAAGAGGAGAGUGGAAUUCCACGUGUAGCGGUGAAGUGCGUAGAGAUGUGGAGGAACACCAGUGGCGAAGGCGACUCUCUGGUCUGUAACUGACGCUGAGGAGCGAAAGCGUGGGGAGCGAACAGGAUUAGAUACCCCAGUAGUCCCUGUCUCUUAUAC